rnacentral:lncRNA from 1 species
GAUAUUUUAUUAGAAGCUGAAGCUGAAGCUGACAGUGAAUUUAAAUUCCAUAGAAAUAGAAUCCCUAUCUGGAUUUGAAUUACAAGGGGGCAUGCAGUAGUAGGGUCACAAAAAGGAAUCUGAUUCAAUUGGGGUUGGCCCUAUGUUCACCCUAAAAGAAGAAGAAGAAGAAGAAGAAAGAAAAAAUACUGCAUACAUAUAUGGUCCAUCUUUUUCUUGUUGCCGCAUCCAGCUCAUUCCUCCCUAAUUAAAUUGACUUCUCCACUGAUGCCCAUUGCUCUUGAAAACAUUUCCCCUCCUCCUUUGACAGGGACUGGCAAUGCCAUAAAGCAGCCUCUCCAUCUAUCACCACAAUUGCAUAGUUUCUCACCAGGUUAAAACUCUACUCUACAGACAUAGCCAGCAGAGCGAAUUGCUAGCUUUUGGUUUGCG